GGAGACGUAGCGAAGAGGUCAUAACGCGGUUGACUCGAAAUCAACUUGUCGGUGACUACCGGCACGAGGGUUCGAAUCCCUUCGUCUCCU
rnacentral:tRNA from 7 species